CGGCACGGAUGCCGCUGGUUCCAUACAGAAGCGAUGUUUGAGGCGAAGCCUCAAACUCGUCGAUGAAAAAUGUACACGGAUGUACAUUUUUCAUCA
rnacentral:sRNA from 1 species